CUCAAAUGGGGGUUUCUCUUUUUACUCUAAGAUACGUGUGUGGUGAAUCGUGUGGGCCUUGGUGGUUAUCAGAAAUUAUAUGUAUGGGCAUAAUAGCUUUGGUCAGAGUACAUUCUCCCCACCACAGGCCAGUCAUUUUUAAUCUGAGCUGCAUGUCACCACAUAGCCAAUAAAUUUCUCCCAUGGACUUAACUUGAUUUACUAAUAGGGCAGUGGGAGGUUCUCGAUAAGUGGUACAGUAGCCAGAAGGGAAUUUACCUACAAAUUUACCCGUGGCUCUAUGUAUUGUGUAGCAAGUGUAGUUACCUGGGUACACGGUGAUUCCAUCAGCCAUAGUUUCUUCAAAUGUGGGAUUGACAAUGGCUACCAUGUAUUUAAGGGAUUUAAUGUGUGGUUUUAGAGGGUUAAUGGUCAUGUGUGUGGAGUCUACUCAGUCAGGUGACAUAAGCAUGUCCUGUAAAUAGAAGGUCCCCAACUUGUUAUAUGAGCCACCCCAUUUCCAAUACAUUCCCAUUCCGUACUCCCCAGCGUCUCCUGGGCUGGGAUGUUCUAUGUUCAAGGUGAGCUUCAUUGGGGUAGACCCUGUUGGCUUGCAUAAGGUCAUUCUGUAUAACAAGGGUUUCCCAUAUCUGUCAAUCCUAUCUAAGGCACUUUGUGGUCGGCCAGUAUUCCAACCCGCUACAGUGAUUGUUACAUGGUCACCUGUCACACAAAUUCACCUGUCCUUUUUGUUUGGUAUGUCUUUGUAUAUUGCUGAGUGUUGUGAUUGUGGAAAAGUACAAGAGACAAUAUCACAGUAAUCAAAGGUGAAAAUAGCUACGUGUGUGUUUGAAGAAUUAUACCAGAAUGUUUAAACAUGAUUGUCUUUGGUAAUAACAACUUGUUGGGCCUUCGAUAGGUCUAGCAGCAGAAAUAGGCACAGGAAGCUCAUGAUUUAGUGGAUCAGGAACUUUCUUGCAGUACGAGGCGUGUAUCCAGGUAUUCUUCCCGGCCACCUUUUACAGAGGUAGAUGUAGUCAAUAGGACUUGGAAUGGACCAUAAAACCUUGGCUCAAGAGUGUGUUUUCUUAGGAACUUCUUGACCAUGACCCAGUCACCAGGAAGUAGCUUAUGUGUGCCUGUAUUUGACUCUGGAUCUGGAAUAGAAGAAAAC